AUAUUGCACAAUGGGCGAAAGCCUGAUGCAGCGACGCCGCGUGAGGGAUGACGGCCUUCGGGUUGUAAACCUCUUUCAGCAGGGACGAAGCGCAAGUGACGUUACCUGCAGAAGAAGCACCGGCUAACUACGUGCCAGCAGCCGCGGUAAUACGUAGGGUGCAAGCGUUGUCCGGAAUUACUGGGCGUAAAGAGUUCGUAGGCGGUUUGUCGCGUCGUUUGUGAAAACCAGCAGCUCAACUGCUGGCUUGCAGGCGAUACGGGCAGACUUGAGUACUGCAGGGGAGACUGGAAUUCCUGGUGUAGCGGUGAAAUGCGCAGAUAUCAGGAGGAACACCGGUGGCGAAGGCGGGUCUCUGGGCAGUAACUGACGCUGAGGAACGAAAGCGUGGGUAGCGAACAGGAUUAGAUACCCUGGUAGUCCACGCCGUAAACGGUGGGCGCUAGGUGUGGGUUCCUUCCACGGAAUCCGUGCCGUAGCUAACGCAUUAAGCGCCCCGCCUGGGGAGUA
rnacentral:rRNA from 1 species